rnacentral:rRNA from 1 species
UACAGAGGGGGCAAGCGUUGUUCGGAAUUACUGGGCGUAAAGGGCGCGUAGGCGGCCAACUAAGUCAGACGUGAAAUCCCUCGGCUUAACCGGGGAACUGCGUCUGAUACUGGAUGGCUAGAGGUUGGGAGAGGGAUGCGGAAUUCCAGGUGUAGCGGUGAAAUGCGUAGAUAUCUGGAGGAACACCGGUGGCGAAGGCGGCAUCCUGGACCAAUUCUGACGCUGAGGAGCGAAAGCCAGGGGAGCAAACGGG